rnacentral:rRNA from 22 species
AAAUUGAAGAGUUUGAUCAUGGCUCAGAUUGAACGCUGGCGGCAGGCCUAACACAUGCAAGUCGAACGGUAACAGGAAGCAGCUUGCUGCUUCGCUGACGAGUGGCGGACGGGUGAGUAAUGUCUGGGAAACUGCCUGAUGGAGGGGGAUAACUACUGGAAACGGUGGCUAAUACCGCAUAACGUCGCAAGACCAAAGAGGGGGACCUUCGGGCCUCUUGCCAUCAGAUGUGCCCAGAUGGGAUUAGCUUGUUGGUGAGGUAACGGCUCACCAAGGCGACGAUCCCUAGCUGGUCUGAGAGGAUGACCAGCCACACUGGAACUGAGACACGGUCCAGACUCCUACGGGAGGCAGCAGUGGGGAAUAUUGCACAAUGGGCGCAAGCCUGAUGCAGCCAUGCCGCGUGUAUGAAGAAGGCCUUCGGGUUGUAAAGUACUUUCAGCGGGGAGG